rnacentral:rRNA from 1 species
UAGCUACAGGCUUAACACAUGCAAGUCGAGGGGAAACGAUAUUGGAAGCUUGCUUCCGAUAGGCGUCGACCGGCGCACGGGUGAGUAACGCGUAUCCAACCUGCCCAUCACUUGGGGAUAACCUUGCGAAAGUAAGACUAAUACCCAAUGACGUCUCUAGAAGACAUCUGAAAGAGAUUAAAGAUUCAUCGGUGAUGGAUGGGGAUGCGUCUGAUUAGCUUGUUGGCGGGGUAACGGCCCACCAAGGCAACGAUCAGUAGGGGUUCUGAGAGGAAGGUCCCCCACAUUGGAACUGAGACACGGUCCAAACUCCUACGGGAGGCAGCAGUGAGGAAUAUUGGUCAAUGGACGAGAGUCUGAACCAGCCAAGUAGCGUGCAGGAAGACGGCCCUAUGGGUUGUAAACUGCUUUUAUAAGGGAAUAAAGUUAGUCUCGUGAGACUUUUUGCAUGUACCUUAUGAAUAAGGACCGGCUAAUUCCGUGCCAGCAGCCGCGGUAAUACGGAAGGUCCGGGCGUUAUCCGGAUUUAUUGGGUUUAAAGGGAGCGUAGGCCGGAGAUUAAGCGUGUUGUGAAAUGUAGACGAUCAACGUCUGCACUGCAGCGCGAACUGGUUUCCUUGAGUACGCACAAAGUGGGCGGAAUUCGUGGUGUAGCGGUGAAAUGCUUAGAUAUCACGAAGAACUCCGAUUGCGAAGGCAGCUCACUGGAGCGCAACUGACGCUGAAGCUCGAAAGUGCGGGUAUCGAACAGGGUUAGAUACCCUGGUAGUCCGCACGGUAAACGAUGGAUGCCCGCUGUUGGUCUGAAUAGGUCAGCGGCCAAGCGAAAGCAUUAAGCAUCCCACCUGGGGAGUACGCCGGCAACGGUGAAACUCAAAGGAAUUGACGGGGGCCCGCACAAGCGGAGGAACAUGUUGUUUAAUUCGAUGAUACGCGAGGAACCUUACCCGGGCUUGAAUUGCAGAGGAAGGAUUUGGAGACAAUGACGCCCUUCGGGGCCUCUGUGAAGGUGCUGCAUGGUUGUCGUCAGCUCGUGCCGUGAGGUGUCGGCUUAAGUGCCAUAACGAGCGCAACCCCUCUCCUUAGUUGCCAUCAGGUCAAGCUGGGCACUCUGGGGACACUGCCACCGUAAGGUG